GUAAAGAACAAGGCGCUAACAGCCUUAGCUUCCAGUCUUCCCUUUGUUUAUUGUUAUAAGACAGAUGUUUGAAUUGAAUUAUUCAGUGUUGCAGUAACAAUGUAUUUGGUUCAUGAUUAGAGAGCAACAAACGCUGCAGAAAUAUUCUAAACAAAACGCCAUCCAGGAAGAGGAAGAGGAAGAGGAAGAGGUCGACCUGCUGGAGACCAGCUGCAAAACCGAAUCAUCUCGGAACCUUCUGGUUUUCCACUGCAUCAUGGCUAACUGUGUUGGUCCUGUUGAUCAAAGUCUCAUAACUGAAGAGAGAAACUCCAUUGUUGACCACAAAAUGCCAAACACUACAGAAAUAAAGGAGGAACAGGAAGAACCAGACCUGCAGCAGGUGGCCGAGACAAAAGACGGAUCACAAACACAACCAAUGAAAAAAGAGCAUGUUGAACUGUGGAUCUCUCAAGAUGAAGAACAAUUUUUAGUCAUGCAGGAAACCAGGUCCUCUCUGGUAACUCAUGAAGAAAGAAUCCGCAAUGAACCAAAAGUAGAGAUAAAGGAGGAACUAGGACCUGCAAAUCAAGGAGAAUUAGAACCUUUCAGGAUUAAAAAGGAACCAGAACUUGUCCAGGCACAAAAUGAUUCAGAACUGAUGAACAUAAAAGAGAAAAAAGAGGAUUUUUACGGUAAUCAGGAUGAAGAUCAGUUUGUAGUGAAGCAGGAGACUGACAGCAUUACGGUGACGUCUACUAAUGAGCUAAAAGACGACAGUGAAGCAGAACCGAACAAGAACCAACUCCUCUCUGCAAAUGGCCUCGAAGCUCAGGACCAACAUCACCAAGGAAACAACCAGAAAGAAAGCGGGGAUACGGAUCUGGAACCAAAGGCCCUUAAAUUAAGGGGCAAACAUCGCAGAAUGCUUCAAUACUUACCUGUGGACAUGGACAGCCACUCAUAUGAGAAGGUUUAUUCUUGGAAAGAAUAACUGCUGCUGGAGGAAUAUUCAUCAAUAUUUACCAGAGAUCGAUCAUCAGCUCAAGCUGCUGGAAAACAAACCAUCUCGGAUCGUCCAGGCUUCCCUCAGCAUCAUGUCUGGUGCUAACGACGAGGUUCCUGCUGGUUACAACUGAAGAGAGAAACUCCUCUCGACCACAAGAUGUCAAAUGCCAUAAGAAUAAAAGAGGAAGAGGAGGAACCAGAACUGCAGCAGAUGGCUGAGACGAAAGAGGAGCCAGAACCCGAGCCAACUAAAGAAGAGCAUAUUGAACUGUGGGUUUUUCAGAAAGAGGGGCAGAUGUUAGUGAUGCAGAAAACCAACACCUCCGUGGCGACGCCCACUCAUGAGGAAAUGCUCGACAACAUGCCAGGACUGGCGCAGGUGAUGGAGACGAAGGAGGAACCGGAACCUGUGCUGAUUAAAGAAGAACAGGUGGAUCCGUGCAGGGAUCAAAAUGAAGUUCAGCUUGAUCUUCACAUAAAGCUGGAUACUGACAGCAUCACGGUGACUUCUGCUGAUGAGCAAAACAACAGCAGUGAUCCAGAACCAAACAAGAACCAGCUCCUUCCUGCAAACCGCCCAGAACCAGAGAACCAGGAAGACUCAGGAAGAGGAGAUCCAAGUCUGAGGCCAGACAAGAGACGUCAGGACACCAGAAGUAACGGGGUCAAUGUGAACAGUUCAGAACUGAAAAGACAGAAAACGGAUACGGCGUCUUGUGAAAUAUGUGGUAAACUCUUCAGAAUGCGUCAACACCUGCCUGACAACAUAAAAAUCCACACGGGUGGUCGAGGGAGACCAACUAUUCAUAUUACAAGAGAACAGAUCGACUUUCUUCUGGCCCAAGGACACACGGUCAAGAGGAUGGCAAACAUCUUGGGAUGCUCAGCAUCAUUUCUUUAUAAGAAGUCCAAAGCACUUGGUGUACCAAUAAGGGGAAGGCUGGCUGCAGUGACUGAUGAAGACCUUGAAACUAAUAUCAGACAACUUCAAUCCCUGGAUCCAAAUUCUGGGACUGAGAUGAUGCGAGGCUUGUUAAAUGCACGAGGACUGGUGGUUCCACGGCGUAACGUCCGUGAGACGACGGCUCGAAUCAACCCAAUGGCGACUGCAAGGGUGGAGCAGCGCAGUGAUUCGACGUGUCUGUCAUGUGCCGUAUCCCAACAGUUUAUGGCAUAUUGAUGGCAACAUGCGUCUCAUAAGGUGGGGCUUUGUGGUCCAUGGUGGCAUCGAUGGAUGUUCUCGCUUAAUUACUUACUUGAACUGUAGCACAGACAAUCGCGCCUCAACAGUGCUAUUUCAUUUUCUCAAGGCAACAGGCCUCUAUGACUUACCUUCUAGUGAGGUCAGAUCAUGGUGGCGAGAAUGUGCAAGUGGCACUGGUGAUGAACCUCCUACAGGGCAUUGAACGUCGGAGUCAUGUCACUGGGGAAUCCAUCCAUAAUCAGAGAAUAGAGCGACUUUGGAGGGAUGUGUUUUUACAUGUUUUAUAAUCUUGAAGAUUCGGCCCUCUUGGAUCCCAGCGACGAUGUGCACAAACUUUCUCCUCAUAGUUUUUCUUCCUGAGAUUCAAAGCCGACUAGAACAAUUCAGGAAAGCAUGGAACCACCAUUCCUUGCGUACAGAAAACAACAAAACACAAAUCUGGACUGAGUGGAUGUUGGCAAACAUGAGUGCCAACAGCACAGCAACUAACAACGUGUUUGGUGAAAAUUAUAACGCACCAGAGACUCUUGAAGAACUUCUGCAGCAGCAUGGCCUUUGACCCCCACCAACCACUGAUGCUGAGCGGGUAGAACCAGCUCAAACCAGGCUCAGUCAGCAGCAACUUCUAUCAGUUAUACAGUCAAAUACAUUGUUCUUAAGAUACAAAUGCUACAAAUAAAACUCAGAAUUAACGUGAGUAGGUAACCUUACAGAUGUAAUUAUAAAAUGUUAAGGUGUUUAAAGACGUGAUGAAUUAAAUAUACAUUCUACAGAAAAAAUAAAAAUUCUACUUUUGAAAAUG